UAUAUGCAAAAAGUUGGGAUUUUUAAAAUAAAAGUACGUCAUUUUUAAGUUCUCGUUUUGCGGAUCGGACAAUUGGGAUGGAUGGAGUAUUUUGUUUUAGAUGCUUAUGCCGACCCUUCUUACCACGAUUGACGGAAAUCCAGGUAGAAUGAAAGAAUUCUCACAAAGUUUGGUUUUCGUUUUCUCGGAGCCAACCCAGUGUUUGCUUCAGUUUUUUGUGAUCGCAAAAUAAUUAAAAUUCCUCAUACGAGGUCACAUCCUUCUUUAGUGCAGUUCCAUGUUUUUUCUUUUCUGUGUUGAGAUUUAUGAUUGUUGUGGCCACAUGGGGUUAGCUCAUUCUUCUAAAUUUCUUAUACUUGUGUGACAGCUUCAAUAUCAAAUACUUUUGGCGGUUGACUAGGUAGAAAGUAAAUUGAAAUAUUGCAGCAUUUUUCAUUUUGUGAUCGUUGAUGAUGUGAGGAUAUUUUAUCGUUUCUUUUGUCACUGGGGGUUGGGGUUUUGUAUGGCGAUCAUGAGGCUUAGACAAACUUUCUACCUCAAGCAUGGUGCGAUAUUAUCUUAGUUUCAGGGGGAAGUCAGUAUGAGAGCAACAACAUAUCUAAGUGGCUUGAGAUAGUACCCAUGUGUUGUAUUCCCUAUUAUUUUUCCAAUUUCUCUGAUUAAGUGUAGAUGAAAGUGAAAACAAGUAAAACUUGUAAUCUUCUUCCACUUCUCUAACUUGAAGCCUUUGUUUCCUAUUGUUGAUUCCAUAUUGGUCAACCUGGGACUGUGGCAGAUUCGUAGGUAGAUUGACAGGUUACUGAUGUAAUUCAAAGAAGGGGCUCACAAGUUUUAAAGUGCAGAAUCUCGAGCAAGACAGAUGAAUAUCAAAUUCAUGGAAACUAGAUUUGACUAACUGUCUAAUAUGAUGAUGCAUGUUUCCGAGUAGGGGGGCCUCUAUAUUUUCUGAAGUUCUAGGAAGCUGGAUAGGAUCUCAAGGAUUUGGCAAUGCUGUGUAGUUUGAGGGACAAAGGUAUUAUUUCGACAUUAAUAUAUUUGUGCCAGUUGCAUUGAGAUGAUGCGAUGAUACGGACAUUAGCGUAGAUGGGUUUUGCUUUUGACUGGUGAAUCUAGAGCUCGCGAGACAUUUGUACUUUUCUAAGUACCUUUUCAUAAUCUAAUACAAUGUUUUAGUUUGCAUUAAUCUCAUUUUCUGUCCAAUAAAGUUUGAAAUAACGCUAUAAGUUAUGAAAUUGAGUGUGCUUAAGCCUAGAUCAAACACGGAGAUCCAAAGACUUUGUCUCUGUUCUUGACAAUGUGCUUGGGCACUGGACCCACUAAGCCAUGCCCCAAAACUCCCAUGCCUUUCAUGGUUAAACCAACCGGCGAUUCAAUAUUGCGCGUUGGCACUACAUUGAGAGAUAGUGGAUAGAGCUAUUAGCAUGCUAGAUAGAGCGCUUGAGUUUUGGGUUGAGAUGGUGAGAUACUGGAGCUAUUUUGUGCGCUUGAUAGUGUGUGGGCGCUCACCACGUGCUCAUGUGGUCAAAAUUCUAUUGUUAGCCAUUUCGUCAGUCCACUAUAAAUAGCUUGAUUUCAUCUUUUGGAGUUAGAGCUCUAGAGCAUCUAGGAGGCACCCUUUUAUGGCUUUUUCAUUCUCUAAGUUGAACCCUCCAUUAUCCCAAUUUAAGUGCAUAUUCGUCAUGUCUUUCGUAGGAUUCAUCGUUUGUCAGGUGGCAUUUCAGACACCCACUUUCCUUUUCUGGUAAAUUGUGGCUGAAGCCAAAUUGAAAUCCACUUUUUUAUGAUUUGCUUAUUUAGUGAACCCUUAGCCAUUGUGGUGACAGAACCUUUUGCGAAUGGAGAUUGAAAAGGCGCUUCUCAUGGUGUCUAUGGUAUCAAGAUUGGCUUGGGGAGCUCUUGAUUCUUGAAGGGAAACAAAGUUAGGUGAUUUAGUGUAAGGGUAUUCAUUCUUCUUGCCUAGUCUUGUAGUCUUUGGUUCAUAGUAGAAUUUGUUUGGGUGUUGGGUUUGUAGGUUUUGUUUCUAGUGUUGGACCUUGGGCUUUUCACAUUAAAGCACUAUUUUCUUUGUUAUCUGUACGUAAAGCUUUACGUAAAUAGUUCACAGAAAUUUAUCAAGAUUGCGUCAGAUCUUAAUUGAGUUAUGUUUUGUUGUUCACAGGUUCCGCAUCUAGGCACAGAUUUAUUGACUCCCGUUUUUUAUUCCCUAAGCUCAGCAAGUAUUAAAAGUCCUUUUCAUAUUCUUGGUAGGAUUUGUUUGGGUGUUGGGUUCGUAGGUUUUUGUUUCUAGUGUUGGACCUUGGGCUUUUCACAUUAAAGCACUGUUUUCUUUGUUAUCUGUACGUAGAGAGUUCAUAGAAUUUUAUCAAGAUUGCGUCAGUUCUUAAUUGAGUUAAGUUUUGUUGUUCACAGGUUCCACAUCUAGGCACAAUUUUAUUGAUGUUUUUUAUUCCCUUACCUCGGCAAGUAUUAAAAGUCCUUUUUAUAUGCUUGCCCUCUUCCUGCCUCAUGAGCAUGACGUAAAUGAUUCUAAAAGGUAGAAAGAUAGCAUUGAGGGUGCCAUUUAUUCGAGAAAAUUAAAGGCGUGCCUUUGUUGAGCAAAGAUUCUAGUGGAAUCCUUUUACAGAGUUAUAUGUGCUUGACUAAAGGGCCUCUCUCAGUAUCAUGGUUUUGAAUACUCUGUUGUACUGGCCGGUAUGGCUGAGAUGUACCACUUGGGUUUGGUUAUAAAACAGUACAUUUGACCUGCAAUUGUGUUUUAGCUAGUUUACCAAACAAUUCUAGUGUGUUAGGGAGAUUUUGCUAUGCUUUGGUAGUUUGGCAAUACCAGCUUCUGGUACGAUGAUUUGUGUGUAUACACGUGCACACGCACACAUAUGUAGAGCACUGGUUGGAGGCAAUGUAGUACAUGGUAAAUAUCAUAACUAGAUAUAUUGUUAAUCCCAUGGAAAUAUUUUAUAUACCUAUGAAUCCAAAGCGGUAUCCAGUAACCUGUUGGAACCGGUAUGAGGUAUCAGUAUAUAUGAUACCAAUGACAGACACAUCUAUAUCUGGUGCAAGAUUUGCAAGAUUUAGAACCUUGCUCUGUUUAGUGAGCACCUUUUCCUUGCCUUGGAAAAUCUCUUUUCCCCCCCCUUGGUAGUGGUGGUGGUGGUGAGAGGUGGGCAUAGUUAUUAGAAUAGCAUGAUGUGCUAUUGGAUUCACAAUUCAUGCAAAUCAAUACGAAUCUAUGGGUGAAUCAAGGUUUAGACAGAAUCAGUGAUGAACCGUACAAUCCACAAUUCAAUUCAUGCGAACAUAAGAAUUGUUGCAUCCGACUAAUAUGAAGCCCCUUUUACCUUCAUUUUUUU